rnacentral:rRNA from 1 species
CGAUGAAAUGCGUAGAGAUCGACUAGCACACCGGUGGCGAGGACGGGUCUCGGGACAGUCCUGACGCUGACGCACGAAAGCCAGGGGAGCAAACGGGAUUAGAUACCCCGGUAGUCCUGGCCCUAAACGGUGUUCACUUGGUGUGGGGGGAGUCGACCCCCUCCGUGCGGUAGCUAACGCGAUAAGUGAACCGCCUGGGAAGUACGACCGCAAGGUUAAAACUCAAAGAAAUUGACGGGGGCCCGCACAAGCGGUGGAGCAUGUGGCUUAAUUCGAUGCAACGCGAAGAACCUUACCUGGCCUUGACAUGCUGGUGGUAGAAGCCUGAAAGGGUGACGACCCAUCGUAAGAUGGGAGCCAGCACAGGUGCUGCAUGGUUGUCGUCAGCUCGUGUCGUGAGAUGUUGGCUUAAGUGCCGCAACGAGCGCAACCCCUGUGUUUAGUUGCCUGCGCAAGCGGGAUCUUUAAACAGACUGCCUCGCUUUAAACGAGGAGGAAGGUGGGGAUGACGUCAAAUCAGUAUGGCCCUUACGGCCAGGGCUGCACACGUGCUACAAUGCGCGGCACAGAGGGAUGCAAGACCGCGAGGUGGAGCAAAUCCCAUAAAACCGCGCCCAGUUCAGAUUGAAGGCUGCAACUCGCCUUCAUGAAGCCGGAAUCGCUAGUAAUGGCGCAUCAGCUACGGCGCCGUGAAUACGUUCCCGGGCCUUGUACACACCGCCCGUCACAUCAUGGAAGCUGUCUGCACCCGAAGUCGCCGCGUUAACCGCAAGGAGACAGGCGCCGAAGGUAUGGAUAGUGACUGGGAUGAAGUCGUAACAAGGUAACC